UACGUAGGGGGCGAGCGUUGUCCGGAUUCAUUGGGCGUAAAGAGCUCGUAGGCGGCUUGGCAAGUCGGGUGUGAAAACUCAAGGCUCAACCUAGAGACGCCACCCGAUACUGCCAUGGCUAGAGUCCGGUAGGGGACCACGGAAUUCCUGGUGUAGCGGUGAAAUGCGCAGAUAUCAGGAGGAACACCGGUGGCGAAGGCGGUGGUCUGGGCCGGCACUGACGCUGAGGAGCGAAAGCGUGGGGAGCGAACAGG
rnacentral:rRNA from 1 species